CUCCCUCUCUCCCCCUCUCUCCUCUCUCUCUCUCUCUCUCUCCUCUCUCUCUCGCUCGCGCUCUCUCCCUCCCUGGAAGAAGGGAAUGAGGCAGGGCUGACGUGAAGGGAUGCAAAACAGCUCCUCCUAAGCCAGCUCGCAGAGGAAGAGAGACAGAAAAGCAGCCCUUUUAUCUCUCUUUUGUUUUCUCACUUCCUUCCACCCCCCCCGCACCCCCCUCCUGUCAGCCCAAGUUUUCUCUUCUCUUUCCACCGCAGAGAGGAUUUUUUUCUUCCCCUCUUUCUCUGCCUUCCAGUUCAACUCUCCCACUCAAAUGGAAAGCCUGGAGGCUUUUCGCUCUUUUUUUUUUUUUUUCCCUCCCUCUUUUCUUCCUUCUUCCUCCUUUCUUAUUUCUCUAAAAGGGUUUUGUUUGCUGUGGGAGUUUCGUUUGAAAAUCAAGUCACGCCUUUUUUUUUCCUCCUUUUCUCUCUCUCUCUUUCCUCCUCAGAAAAGGGGAACAAAGAUGAACUGAAGCGGGGGAGAGGGGGAGCGGCAGUGCCUCGCAUAGAAAUGGGGGCCCGGCCCGGCACAAAGGGGGCCCGGGGACUGCGCGCCCCCCGGCCCCGUGGGAAGCCCGGGGCGGCCUCGGGAAGGGGAGUUAGUGGGGUGGGGGGCGCGGCUGCCGGGUGCCGCCCAGCCGCCCCUCCCGGGCCUGAGGUGGAAGGCUAGGUGUGUUCUUGACUCCCGUAUUUUGAAAGUAGGCAGAUGGGCUAGGAGCAGACGUCCCCGCACCGCACCGAACUGUGAAAGAGCCUUUAACAGCUGUUCGCAGAGCCCUAGACAGCCAGGCUCGAGGGAGCAGCGCGGGCUGCGAGCGCGCGCCGGGCCGCCGUGGACGCGGCUGGAGGAGCAGGGGGUCGGCCCCUCGCGGGCCCUCCAAUCCCGGGGCCUGGGCCUCGGCCCCAGAUGCACUGCUGGGGGCGCCGAGGCGUGGCCGCUCGCCGCGCGGGGGUCAGGCCCUUGCGCCUCCCUGCAGGGGGCUUGGCACAGCCCGGCCUCGCCCCAGUUCCCGGGCAGGCCGGGUUCUCCGAGCUCCGGGACGCCCGCCACUCUGAGCCGCUUCUCGACUCCGACGCUGGGCCGGGCCGGAGUCCUCGGACGGAGCCGGACAGAGCCGCCGCGAAGGGUAAAUUAUUCAUGGGGCUCCCGGGCGUGCUCCCAAGACCUGCUCUGCCCUCAGCUUCUCCGGAGAAGUGGGGAGAACACAGGGGAAAAGUUACCACAGCAAAGUUGGCCACAUUUCUCUUUUUUUUCCAAGUGGCUUGGAUUGGGAACGCCUACAUCUGAUCAAGGUGGCCAGGGUGUCAUCUCAGGAACAUGAGUGGAAUGUAAAGACUGGCUGCCCAGGCCUGGCUUCAUCAGUGGAGUUGGAGCCUGCCUGAAAAACGAAGAGGAAUCGGAGGAGAGUGGGCCUCGAAAAAUCCAGAGGGCCCCUUGGAGAAGAUCACCUCCCUGCAAGAACCUGUCUGGGCGAGUGACCCACUUCCUGCUCUGACACCUUUUUAACUUCACUAAUGUCCACCUCCUGGGGUUGUUGGGGGGAAUGAAACCAGGUAAUAUAUGACAUGUAAUGCAUGGAUAGUAUAUUUCGUAAAUCGUGAAGCCUGUGUGAACCUUAGGCCUUAACUCACAUCAGAUAGAUUAUGAUUUAGCCAGAUCCCCUGACCUGCCCAAACCCGAGAAGGAAGACUCGGGAUUCAGACUAAAGAGAAAGAAAUCAGCUGUUCUGAUGCAGAAGCAGUUACCAGAGGCCUCCCCUGGGCAUUACAGAAGCCCACAGGUGCCCUCACCCUAGAGCUAAAAUAGGAAGGAAGCUUUGUUAUAAGGUUUACUAAUUUCUCUUGAUUUCCCUGAGGGAGGGUGCGUUUAUACCACAGACUUUCCAGAAUGUUUAUAUCUAUCUCUGGAAAUUUGAGGGGUCUUGUAAGCUGAGAAAAGGGGUGAAACACAGCUCUUCAGUAUUCCAGUUGAUGUGUUCACCAGAGUAACUGCUGGGAGAUGAGCAGGUGAUUACUAAGAUGUGUUUCAUUCAUUGACAGAACCAAAAGAACAUUUUAAAAAAUAUCAGUGGCUUUGCCAUAUUUAAUAUUCCAUUUUUAAUAUCAAACCUCCCAACUGGAAUUGGCCAAUGGAAGGUGUAGAACCCUGGGAUUGAACUAAGAGGGCCUGCAGAAAACAGGUGGACCCAGGGCUCCUGAAAGGAUGCUCAUUGGCGAUGGCAGGCGACCCGAAGCUGGUAGAGAGUACUUGAGAGCUAUUUUAAUGACUGGAUUUUCACAGAAGCUGAGUUGGGCAGCUAAUCAAAACUUUCAGAAGUAUAGUAACAAUUUAGGAAUAAUCAAGGGUUUGGAGGGGAGAAACUUAAAGAAAACAAAAGUCUGUUUGGAUAGAUGGGGUGAACAUCUGCCAUGUGCGAAUUAUUUUUCCAGGAGUAAUGACAGGGUCCUUCAAAUAAUCCACCUCUCCGAUCUUGCCUGUGACCAAGGGUGCAUAUUUGCAUGGCUUUUUUCCAAUAAGUUAACUGGCCUUAUUUCCAUGAAUAUAAGAAUAAAAAUACACCCAAAGAAACAUAGGCCACCGACCAUAGAAAGGAAACUGCCAAUUUCACCAGUUUAAAACAAAUAAAUACAUAAAAGCCAUAAAGAUGACACCUGCUGCUAUGGGAGAGCACAUUGGUACAGAGCCUGGGAAAUAAUUUGAUAUUAGAGAUCAAGAAAAGUUUAAAAGCUUAUACUCUUUGAUUCACUAACUUUAGUGUUAGAAAUCUAUUUGACAGAAAGAAUCAGCCAUGCAGACAAAGAUGUGUGUUAAGGAUAUUUAUCAAGUGUUAUUUAUGUAGGCAAAAAUUACAAACAAAGAAAGGAGAAGGAAGGAAGGAAGGAAGGAAAUAAACUAAGUAUUCAACAGUGAGGAAAUGUUUAAAGAAGUUAUGGUGUUCACAUCUGAUAUAAUACUAUACAGCUAUUGACACAUGGUUUUGAAGGAUAUUUAAUGACUUAAAUGUUUGCAAUACACUGAGUGAGAUACAAAAUCGCAUUUGCAUCAGAAUUAUAUUUUUGUACAAUUUUGUAUAUGCAUAUAUAUUUAUCUCCAAAAAUACAUAUAAAAUACUUAGAAGGAAAUAGAAACAUGUUAAAAGUUACUUCUCUUUUUUAGAAUUAUGGGUGGAUUUUCUUUUUUUCUUUUUCUCUUAGCAUAUUUGCGAAAUUUCUAUAAUGAUUGAAUUAUUUUUAAACAAUAACUUUAGAGAACAAGACCUAGGCUACUCAUUCAAUCCCCAGUGAAAAACCCAGGUCAGGCCUUCAAGGAGCUUACAGUCCUCAGGAGAAACAUCCAAGCAAACAAAGUCACGUUGCAGAGUGCCGUUGCAGAGUGCCGUUAUUUCUCCGCCCUUGGAAAGGCAUUAAUAAAACAUGUUGUCUGGAAAAGAAAAAAAGAAAAAGACAUCAUUAUGAAGCCAUGAUGAUGAGCAAGACAGGAGGGAAACUUAUAGUCUUCUCUAUCAAGGAAGCAAGAUGGCAAACAUUUUGCUCGGCCUCAGCACAGUGCACGGCGCCUGGUGGGUGAAGCGGCAUGGGGUGUGCCAAGGCCAGUGGGUGGCAGUUUCAGGGAGCCUGUGCUGUCUCAACAGAAGGAGCUUUCUAAGCAUAAGAACUGCCUCUACCAGGAGAGCUUCCUGUUCCUGGAAGUAAUUUUAUUUCAAGCCAACUAACAUCUAUUUAGUACCAAGUACAUGCCAGGUACUGUCCUGCCAUCAGAAAUGCUGCAGGAAACAUUUUUGGCCUUAAUGGGAAGCAGGAGAACAUGGUCUCUGGAGUCCCUUUGAGUUUAAUGACUCCGUGGGCUGUCUAGCAGCUGCCACUCAAAGUGUGAUUCCUGGACCAGCAGCAGCAUCCUGGAGCUUGUUAGAAAUGUGAGUCUCAGGCCCCAUCCGAGACCUGCUAAAUCAGAAUGCAUUUUCACAAGAUCCCUGGUGACUCCGUACAUGAAUUAUAGUUUGAGAAGCCCUGCCCUUGUCCUCUGACAGUCUGCAUUGCUCUCACCAGCAAUGGCCAGUCCUGGGCUGACCACAGCUAUAAGUUGAAGGACCUAUUUGUAAUUUAAGGUAGGAGUGUCACCCUAAAAUUAACUGAUGACCAUGAAUGCUUCUCCAGCUAGCAGCUCAGGGCCUCAGCGGAACUGGCUGAAGGCUUUGGGCUGCACA